rnacentral:rRNA from 1 species
UACGUAGGCAGCGAGCGUUGUUCGGAAUUACUGGGCGUAAAGAGUGUGUAGGCGGUGUUCCAAGUCUGGUGUGAAAUCUCCCGGCUUAACUGGGAGGGUGCGCCGGAAACUGGAAUGCUCGAGGGUGGGAGAGGUAAGCGGAAUUCCUGGUGUAGCGGUGAAAUGCGUAGAUAUCGUGAGGAACACCAGAGGCGAAGGCGGUUACCUGGACAGUUACUGACGCUCAGGCACGAAAGCAUGGGGAGCAAAAGGG